UUUUCAUCAAAAGUGCAAUAACAAAACUUGUUCCCAUUCAUCCUGUGUCUCCAUGCACACUUGUGCUCCUUAUCCGCUCAAAACGCUAUACAGCGAACGAGAAGGCGCUAGGAGCAAAGGAAAGUGGUUUUUCUAACAAACUCGUAUAAUCAGUUGACCGACCUACUCCAAUUUGAUUCUUUUCACAUAUUUAGACAUAGUAUAGUACUAUGAAAUGUUUCUGACCCAAAAUAUUACGAAAUAUGAUUGUUUACAUUAAAAUGCAAAAUUGAUGUUACAGUGUGAUAAGGUGAAAAAAGUGACAUUUUAUGUCUAGAAAGUCACUUUUCAUCAAAAGUACAAUAACAAAACUAGUUCCCAUUCAUCCUGUGUCCCCUUACACACUUGUGCUCUUUAUCCGCUCAAAACGCUAUACAGCGAACGAGAAGGCGCUAGGAGCAAAGGAAAGUGGUUUUUCGAACAAACUCAUAUAAUCAGUUGCACGACCUACUCCAAUUUGAUUCUUUUCACAUAUUUAGACAUAGUAUAGUACUAUGAAAUGUUUCUGACCUAAAAUAUUACGAAAUAUGAUUGUUUACAUUAAAAUGUAAAAGUUGAUGUUACAGUGUAAUAAG
ensembl:lncRNA